rnacentral:rRNA from 1 species
UACGUAGGGUGCGAGCGUUAAUCGGAAUUACUGGGCGUAAAGCGUGCGCAGGCGGUUCGGUAAGUUCGUUGUGAAAGCCCCGGGCUCAACCUGGGAACUGCAAUGGAAACUGGCGGGCUUGAGUGUGGCAGAGGGGGGUGGAAUUCCGCGUGUAGCAGUGAAAUGCGUAGAGAUGUGGAGGAACACCGAUGGCGAAGGCAGCCUCCUGGGCCAGCACUGACGCUCAUGCACGAAAGCGUGGGGAGCAAACAGG